UGAGGUAAGAGCUCACCAAGGCGACGAUCAGUAGCGGGUCUGAGAGGAUGAUCCGCCACACUGGGACUGAGACACGGCCCAGACUCCUACGGGAGGCAGCAGUGGGGAAUUUUGGACAAUGGGCGCAAGCCUGAUCCAGCCAUGCCGCGUGUCUGAAGAAGGCCUUCGGGUUGUAAAGGACUUUUGUCAGGGAGGAAAUCCCUAGCGCUAAAUAUCGCUGGGGGAUGACAGUACCUGAAAGAAUAAGCACCGGCUAACUACGUGCCAGCAGCCGCGGUAAUACGUAGGGUGCAAGCGUUAAUCGGAAUUACUGGGAGUAAAGCGUGCGCAGGCGGUUGUGUAAGUCUGAUGUGAAUAGCCCCCGGGCUCAAUCCUGGGAAUCUGCAUUGGAGAUCUGCACGGCUAGAGUGCGUCAGAGGGGGGUAGAUUCCGCGUGUAGCAGUGAAAUGCGUAGAGAUGCGGAGGAAUACCGAUGGCGAAGGCAGCCCCCUGGG
rnacentral:rRNA from 1 species